rnacentral:rRNA from 1 species
UACGUAGGGGGCAAGCGUUGUCCGGAUUUAUUGGGCGUAAAGCGCACGCAGGCGGUCUUUUACGUUUUGAGUGACAGGUGGUGGCUUAACUGCCACAGGCCUCGAAAUACGGGAAGACUUGAGGGCUUGAGAGGGAUACGGAAUUCCAGGUGGAGCGGUGAAAUGCGUAGAGAUCUGGAAGAACACCAAAGGCGAAGGCAGUAUCCUGGCAAGUCACUGACGCUCAGGUGCGAAAGCUAGGGGAGCGAACG